CCCUUAGAUGUUCUGGGCCGCACGCGUGCUACACUGAUGCAUUCAACGAGUCUAAAACCUGGUCUGAUAGGGCUGGGUAAUCUUUUGAAAGUGCAUCGUGAUUGGGAUAGAUGAUUGCAAUUCUUCAUCUUCAACGAGGAAUGCCUAGUAAACGCAAGUCAUCAGCUUGCAUUGAUUACGUCCCUGCCCUUUGUACACACCGCCCGUCGCUCCUACCGAUUGAAUGAUCCGAUGAAUACCAUGGAUUGAGAGUACGAAUAGGUUCGCUUAUUUCUGCUGCUCGAGAAGUGGAGUAAAUCUUAUCAUUUAGAGGAAGGAGAANUCGUAACA
rnacentral:rRNA from 1 species